rnacentral:misc_RNA from 1 species
UCUCCGUAGGUGAACCUGCGGAGGGAUCAUUACUGAGUUAGGGCUCACGCCCGACCUCCAACCCUUUGUGAACACAAUCUUGUUGCUUCGGGGGCGACCCUGCCGGCACUACGUCGCCGGGCGCCCCCGAAGGUCUCCAAACACUGCAUCUUUGCGUCGGAGUUUAAACAAAUUAAACAAAACUUUCAACAACGGAUCUCUUGGUUCUGGCAUCGAUGAAGAACGCCAGC